rnacentral:rRNA from 1 species
AUUGAACGCUGGCGGCAGGCCUAACACAUGCAAGUCGAGCGGAUGAAGGGAGCUUGCUCCUGGAUUCAGCGGCGGACGGGUGAGUAAUGCCUAGGAAUCUGCCUGGUAGUGGGGGAUAACGUCCGGCAACGGGCGCUAAUACCUCAUACGUCCUGAGGGAGAAAGUGGGGGAUCUUCGGACCUCACGCUAUCAGAUGAGCCUAGGUCGGAUUCGUUAGUUGGUGGGGUAAAGGCCUACCAAGGCGACGAUCCGUAACUGGUCUGAGAGGAUGAUCAGUCACACUGGAACUGAGACACGGUCCAGACUCCUACGGGAGGCAGCAGUGGGGAAUAUUCGACAAUGGGCGAAAGCCUGAUCCAGCCAUGCCGCGUGUGUGAAGAAGGUCUUCGGAUUGUAAAGCACUUUAAGUUGGGAGGAAGGGCAGUAAGUUAAUACCUUGCUGUUUUGACGUUACCAACAGAAUAAGCACCGGCUAACUUCGUG